rnacentral:rRNA from 1 species
CCUGAUCCGCAAUGCCGCGUGUGUGAAGAAGGCCUGCGGGUUGUAAAGCACUUUGAGGUGGAAAGAAGGGCUGGGGGCUAAUAUCCCUUGGCAUUGACUUACCACCAGAACAAGCACCGGCUAACUCCGUGCCAGC